CCCCGCCCCCCAGACUGCCGCGCUUCGGGAACCCCGCCUCCCACCACCGGUUCGAAAGGCUGCUCGAAUCUCCUUGGCUCGACUGUUCUGGGCCGCCGCCGCGUCCCUGCGCUUCCGGUGCUGGCCUGGCCCGUGCCUUUCAGUCGGUCGCUCACCUCCCGCACUUUGCUGGCGGGAAGACGAGGCCCGAAAGGGUGAAAUGUCUGUUGGGCGCCCUUGGGGCUCGCGGAGUCUCCUGGGCCCCAGCCACGAGGCUAUGGACCACAGGCUCAAUCCCCAGCCCAGCGCUCCUUGGCCGAGCUCCCGUUCCUUGCCACGCAAAGCCUUUUGUGGGGCUCCCACCCAGCUACGCCUCAGAUACGGCUGCGGGACCCCUCGAACCCUGUGAGCUUCUGAACUCACCCCCAGAAGUCAUCACGGCAGCUGGUAAACACACGGCCCACCUCCUCGUGGCACUCCGUUUCACUCAACAGAGUCCCUUGAGCGCCUACAUGCCUGCUUCUGUAGAGGGUUUCACAUCAAGCAAGAGCACAGGGGUCACUUCAGGAAGGAGAAAUUCAGGAAGUGCUCUUUCAACAGGAGUGAACUGAAAUCUCGCAACCUUGACCAUCUAAAAGAGCUAUAACUACACAAAAAGAGGAAAGAAGUCCUUUUCUCCUAUCGGCAACCCUCAAUUAUUUGGUACCCAGUAAAACGAGUUAUGGAUUCUGCA